ACUCGACUGCAUGAAGUCGGAAUCGCUAGUAAUCGCGGAUCAGCAUGCCGCGGUGAAUACGUUCCCGGGCCUUGUACACACCGCCCGUCACACCAUGGGAGUAGAUUGUACCAGAAGCGGCUAGCCUAACCUUCGGGAGGGCGGUUACCACGGUAUGGUUUAUGACUGGGGUGAAGUCGUAACAAGGUAGCCGUAGGGGAACCUGCGGCUGGAUCACCUCCUUUAAAGAAAAGGGUCUAGACCCCACACACGCCACUCGGUAAGGAAUUGGGCCUAUAGCUCAGCUGGGCUAGAGCACACGACUGAUAAUCGUGAGGUCAGUGGUUCGAGUCCACUUGGGCCCACCAAAUGGGGCUGUAGCUCAGUUGGGAGAGCACCUGCUUUGCAAGCAGGGGGUCACCGGUU
rnacentral:rRNA from 1 species